rnacentral:lncRNA from 1 species
AAACUUCAUAUGUGUGGAAUGACACAUGUGGCCUCUGCAUCUGGCUUCUUUCACAUAGCCUAAUGUUUUCAAGGCUGGCGCAUGUUGUAGCAUCUAUCAGAACUUCAUUCCUCCUUACAGCUGAUAACACUCCAUUAUGUGGAUAUGGAUAUGCCACACUUUAUCUUUUCAUCAGUUCGUGGACAUCUGGAUUGUCUCCACUUUUUGACUACUACACGUUCUGAAUUACCAGCGAUUUCACUCACUCAGAAUACAUAGAGACGAGGCUCCUCAUUCAGAAUCUCCCUGCACCUCAUGAUGGACUUGGCUGCACAUGGGACAACUCAGUCAUUUCCUGGAACUUGCAUUUCACUGGGAGAGGCCUGCUCUCAGGGAGGGUGCUUUUUGUGGUCUUCCAUGUACAGCUAAUUAAGAUUCUGACUGGGUUUAGGAUCAAAGAAAGCUGUCCCAUUGCAUUCCCACAUUCUUCCUUCUUCUUUCAAUGUCUUCCAAGAUCUAUUUUAAACGGGAAGUGUUGUGUACUUUUCAGGGGCCCUUUGACCUGUUCCCAGUAAAUCAAAACAGGAAGGUAGGUCUCAGCCCUUCGCCUAACAGCCAAUCAGUGUGAGACCAAGGUCUGCACAGCUGUGUCUAUGUCCAGUGCCCAACCAGGGAAGUGGUAUUUCCAAAGGCUUCCCUGAGGUCGGUCUAUGGUAGCUGUUUGCUAAUCUGAAUCCAUGUUGGUGAUUAAUUUUGGAAUUCGACUCUUUGAGUGUAUAAGGGACAGGGUGCAAAGGGAAAACAUCUCAGAGAACUUCUACAAAUAUUAGGAGUUGGUGCAAGAAGUUCACAGUGAGCUGGGAAGGAGUGGGAAGAAAUAACAGGGCCUUGGAUCCUUUCCAAUUCCCACCCCGGUGCGCUUGGCAGCUCACAUGAUACCUCGACUUUUCCAAAUAUUGGGGAGAAAAAGCAGCCAAGGUUUUAUGUAAGAAUGAAAAGGGCCUGAAGCAUUUCAAUUUCCGGGUGGCUAAACAAAAGAGGACACACACCAGGGAAAGCCCCUUAAAGUGUGUGCAGAAGAGUUGGACAAAAGAGAAGAGGCAUUUAAUCAGACAGAGAAAAAAAUAGAAAUGAUGUCAUUAUUUGGGUAUAGUGAGGUUGCCAUGUAGGUGUGUUUGUAUAAAUUCCUUGGGCUUUUCCUAGUAAUGAGAUAAUGCUGUAAGGUCCCCAGUUCCUCAAAAAUUUAGCUAAAACUUGGAGCGAUACUAAUUACAAAACACAAUCGCCACGCAGGUAAAGCUAUACAUAUCAUAAAUAUAGUCUACUGCUUACAGGAUGAGACCCUUGUUAGCAUGGGAGGGGCCCGAUUUCAUAAUUUGUACACCUGCAAUGCAGGGACUGAUCUCUCUGUAGGUGCACAUUUGCCUCAGGGUACACUGGCCUAGUGCGGCACUGCCCUACAAAGGCAAAUCCUCCAUCAAUACAUAAUGAAAAACGACCCAUCAAAAAAAUAAGUCAGAGUUGGGGAGGCACAGAAAAAGUGACAAAUUGAUUCCAGACUCUUCUUUUUUAGGCCAUCAUGGAAACAGUUACUGGAUUUAUAUUGGAAAAUUCCUACCAGGGUGUGACGCCUUCAAUCGCCCUUCGUUUCCCGUGAUCUCCCCAGGAGCAGGCAGAGGGGCAUCCUGGGAACCGACCGCGAGGUGGCCUGGAUCUUACUGCUGCCACUGAGUGCCGCUCCCAGGAAU